ensembl:lncRNA
AUGUGUGCAGUACUGAGUGGCUCUCGCAUUGUGUCAGUGGGUCAGCAAAGGGACCUAACGGUUUGGUCUUCAUUGUACACACACCCACAUAAAUACCCAUAUCCUUAUUUAAGACAAUUAUCAUUAUUCACCUGUGCACUUACUCCAAUUGGGGACGAAGCCACUACAUUUUUAAUUACUGAAAUUAGAGUGUCAGUGAGGACUCCAGUUUUUAAGUAGUUCUUAGAUGCCAGGUAACACCAGUUCCUGGCACUGACCUGGUCACUUCUAUGGUUACAACCUUACGUCAAUAUUUGUAAUUACUCCUGUGUGAGUGCUCCAGUGACACUUUGAUUGUUAGUGAUCAUGUAUGAAAUAUUCAGCUACUGCUAAUUAGUAACCUAUAAAUCAACGAGUCAUUACUUUUCAAUGCACAACAAGCUGUAUAUAAGACUGAAAGUAAAUUAACUUCAAAUGAGGACUAAGUAUUGCAAUUUUGACAAUGUAUGAGGAUCUGGUCAAUUAUUCUGUGGGUCGAAAGUAAAUCUUAGGCACCUCUAUAUAUAUUUUGACUUUGACAGAAUAAACUGUGUGUGUGUUUAAAUGGUAUAUANUAG